rnacentral:rRNA from 1 species
AUGACUCUCGGCAACGGAUAUCUCGGCUCUCGCAUCGAUGAAGAACGUAGCGAAAUGCGAUACUUGGUGUGAAUUGCAGAAUCCCGUGAACCAUCGAGUCUUUGAACGCAAGUUGCGCCCAAGGCCAUCAGGCUUAGGGCACGUCUGCCUGGGUGUCACCC